GAAAUGCGAUAAGUAAUGUGAAUUGCAGAAUUCAGUGAAUCAUCGAAUCUUUGAACGCACAUUGCGCUCGGCAGCAAUCUGCCGGGCAUGCCUGUCCGAGCGUCAUUUCUGCCCUCGAGCGCGGUUCGGCCCCUAGCGGGCCGGCCGCCGCCCGGUGUUGGGGCGCUGCGGGCCCUCGUGCCCGCAGGCCCUGAAAUGAAGUGGCGGUCCCGCCGCGGCGCCCCCUGCGUAGUAGUAAAGCACCUCACAUCGGGUCCCGGCGGAGGCCAGCCGUCGAACCUCUCUUUUGAUGGUUUGACCUCGGAUCAGGUAGGGUUACCCGCUGAACUUAAGC
rnacentral:misc_RNA from 1 species